UAGACCGUAGACUAACUAGGUAGGUCACUUAGAUUUGAGCUAAGUCGGUGCGUGUUCGAAUCACGCCGGUCUAA